rnacentral:rRNA from 1 species
UAAACCGCCAGGGAAUUACGAGCCCAAGCUUAAAACCCAAAGGACUUGACGGUGCCCCACCCACCUAGAGGAGCCUGUUCUAUAAUCGAUUUUCCCCGAUACACCUCACCACUUCUAGCCUCUCAGCCUGUAUACCUCCGUCGUAAGCUUACCAUAUGAACGUUGAACUAGUGAGCUAAAAGAUUUACCAUCAACACGUCAGGUCAAGGUGCAGCCCACGAAGUGGCAAGCAAUGGGCUACAGUUUCUAACUUAGAACAGACGAAAGACUACAUGAAACACAGUCAUGAAGGCGGAUUUAGUAGUAAAAAGAAAAUAGAGUGUUCUUUUUAAUUAGGCACUGGGACGCGUACACACCGCCCGUCACCCUCUUCAAACGCAACCAUUAUGUUAAUAACACCAAACUGCACUACAGAAGAGGUAAGUCGUAACACGGUAAGCGUACUGGAAAGUGCGCUUGGAUAA